rnacentral:ncRNA from 1 species
AUCGGAAGUGCGAAUGCUGACAUGAGUAGCCGAUAAAGAGGGGUGAGAUGCCCUCUCGCCGAAAGACCAAGGGUUCCUGCUUAAAGCUAAUCUGAGGAGGGUGAGCCGGCCCCUAAGACGAGCCCGAAGGGGGUAGUCGAUGGGAACCACGUUAAUAUUCGUGGGCCUGGUGGUGUGUGACGGAUCUCGUGUAUUGUACAACCUUAUCGGAUUGGUUGUGCUUUGAAGAGGUUCCAGGAAAUAGCCCCACCGUAUAGACCGUACCCGAAACCGACACAGGUGGUCAGGUAGAGUAUACCAAGGCGCUUGAGAGAAGUAUCCUGAAGGAACUCGGCAAAUUGCCUCCGUACCUUCGGAAGAAGGAGGCCCUGUCUAUGCGCAAGCACUGGCAGGGGGCACAGGCCAGGGGGUAGCGACUGUUUAGCAAAAACACAGGACUCUGCUAAGUCGGCUUCAAGACGACGUAUAGGGUCUGACGCCUGCCCGGUGCCGGAAGGUUAAGAGGAGGAGUGCAAGCUCCGAAUUGAAGCCCCGGUAAACGGCGGCCGUAACUAUAACGGUCCUAAGGUAGCGAAAUUCCUUGUCGGGUAAGUUCCGACCUGCACGAAUGGCGUAACGACUUCCCCACUGUCUCCAGGAUAUGCUCAGCGAAAUUGAAUUCUCCGUGAAGAUGCGGAGUACCCGCGGUUAGACGGAAAGACCCCGUGCACCUUUACUGCAGCUUCAGAGUGGCAUUGGAAAAUUAUUGUGUAGCAUAGGUGGGAGGCUUUGAAGCAACGGCGCCAGCUGUUGUGGAGCCAUAGGUGAAAUACCACCCUGUGAUUUUUUAAUGUCUAACCUCGUACCGUUAGCCGGUACAGGGACCCUCUGUGGCGGGUAGUUUGACUGGGGCGGUCGCCUCCUAAAGAGUAACGGAGGCGCGCGAUGGUAGGCUCAGGCCGGUUGGAAACCGGCUGCAAGAGUGCAAUGGCAUAAGCCUGCCUGACUGCGAGAUUGACGAAUCGAGCAGAGACGAAAGUCGGUCAUAGUGAUCCGGUGGUCCCUCGUGGAAGGGCCAUCGCUCAACGGAUAAAAGGU